UUUUUAUUGGAAAAAAACUUUAAAUGUGUCAUUCAGAUCAUCAAUCAAUGACUGUAGGGUGAGUUUAAACUAGAAAGAAAUGACAGCAUGUUUCAAGUAAAAGGUGCAUUUUGGUCAGACCCUUUCAUUAAAACACUGUUCAGAUCUUUAGUCAAUCUCUCUUCCUCCCAGUCAUGCAGCGAGCAUCAUUUUGUUAUAUUUCUUUGAUAUUGGACCCCCAACCCUGUCUGCUGUCUACAGCGCUCUGUUUAUCUUCCUCCCACACCAGCGGUGGUCAUAUUUCCUCUUUUCUGUUUCUCCCAGACUUGGAGUGCAUUUGAAUGAUCUCAGAGCCGCAGUUCCUCAAAGGCUGCUGGGACAGAUAAGCUGCAUGCACACGCGCUUUGUCUGAUCUCAGCUCCACGUCAAAACUGCACUGUAAAAAAAAUCUGUAAAAUAACAGUUAAAUGACUGUAUAUUUUAACAGAUUUUUUCCGUAUACACGUAUUACGGGUGUUUUUCCGUUUAUAUACAUUUUCGAAUUGCAUUGUGGGAAGGGGAUCGCAGCUCAGACAGCGUUUGAUGGACACCGGGACAUAUUUCUUCCUCUGUUUUUUCCCUGUUGUUUGUCCGUAUUUUUCUAAACUGCCGUGCGCGGGAAGUGGCGUGACGUCCAAUCACCCACUCACUCCCUCUGCACCUGACUGGAUUAACGGUAAACGUCAGUUUGUCUGUAAGAGUGUAAAAGGUUCUUUCAUUUUGGUUAUAAGUACAUGUUACAGGUAAAUUCUUAGAUUCAAUCCAAACUGAAUUUGAAUUAAUACGGACAAAUGAAAUAAAAUACACCUGGGAUUUUAAAUGUUUUCAUUUUUUUAUUAUUCACAACGUUUGUGAAGUCUAAAUGUAGACUGUCUCAAACUGAAUAAGUGUUAUUUUUGUUGUAGGUGUGUUGGUGUAAAAAUGGAUG